AUUGAACGCUGGCGGCAUGCCUUACACAUGCAAGUCGAACGGCAGCACGGGAGCAAUCCUGGUGGCGAGUGGCGAACGGGUGAGUAAUAUAUCGGAACGUGCCCAGUCGUGGGGGAUAACGCAGCGAAAGUUGUGCUAAUACCGCAUACGAUCUAUGGAUGAAAGCGGGGGAUCGCAAGACCUCGCGCGAUUGGAGCGGCCGAUAUCAGAUUAGGUUGUUGGUGAGGUAAAAGCUCACCAAGCCUGCGAUCUGUAGCUGGUCUGAGAGGACGACCAGCCACACUGGAACUGAGACACGGUCCAGACUCCUACGGGAGGCAGCAGUGGGGAAUUUUGGACAAUGGACGCAAGUCUGAUCCAGCAAUGCCGCGUGCAGGACGAAGGCC
rnacentral:rRNA from 1 species